rfam:Ovis aries breed Texel chromosome 3, whole genome shotgun sequence.
UCCCUGGUGGUUCAGUGGCUAAGACUCUGCUCUCCCAAAGCAGGGGGCCCGGGUUAAUUCCCUGGUCAGGGAA